AUUUUGGUAAAGACAUUCAUCUCAGUCGUUUCUCUCUCCCAGCUUGACCUUAGGUUAAUAUUUCAUUUGGGUCAAGAAAAGAAUAUGUAGGAGAGCUAUGUUGCUUUAACAAGAAAAUGGACAAAAAUGGAUAGUUUGCCUCAUUAAAGAACACGCAUGCUCGCAGAAGCCAUUACAAUCCCGUCGUGCAGCAGCCUGUGCUAUUGACCAGCCUAGAAGUCAUUUUUCGACUCAAGGGGAGAAGGGUGGGUUUCUGCUCUUUCCUUGCACCAUCUGAAGGACACGGCAGAAGAUAAAGGAAAAUGGCCAUGAGAUGCUCCAGCGGAGCUGGGUCCAAGGCCUGGCGCUCACCAAAGAUUGCACUACUCUCAGCAUGGUACAGGAAGACAACUGAUGGGACAAUGCAAGCUGGGACAAUCUCCAACCCAAAGGGUAUCUCAGAAAACAGCACUAGAGUCUGAAAUGAUUCCACCUGGUCUUAGCAGAAAGCUGGCCCGGAAGUUGUAAUACAUGAAGAUCCAACAGCCACCACGUGACCAAGAGAA
rnacentral:lncRNA from 10 species